UAUGGAUUCAUAGAGGCCGACCACAGAUCUAUCGUGAUGCUUGUGAUUAGAUUUGAAUAGAUUUGAACUCUUAGUCUGACGAGGACAUCAUAGAUUGACUGAGAAAAGUAUAUGAGGACUCGUGCGGACAUGUAUUUAGUCUCACAUUGGUUAUUCGCUGAAGAGAUCUUGGAUACUUAUACAGAAUCAAAAAAUCCAAAAAAUAUCUUCCGAUUAGUCAUUUUGAGUGAAGUUUUGAAUUGUUACAAAUGUAGUGUAUGAGCCACCAGCAAUUCUAAGGUGGAGCCUAGUGACAACAGCAAAAGGAUGGUGAAAAUCUUCUAUUGCAAUAGAGAGAUGCUUACGGACCAUCCCUCAACCAAAAAUAACUCCCCCUGGUUCACAAUGGUUGAAUAAUUCCAAAAUCCUCUGAUGGAAAUGAGAUUAGAGAGAGAUACUUCAAGACUACCCCAGACUCCCCUUGGUUCACAAUGGCCAAAGAACUCCGAGAUGCCAAAUUUCAACAUGAAGAGUGCCAGAUUUUGGUUUGGAUGGUGCAACCACUUGUAGGUCACCUCUGAUGACAAAGCGGCUAACUGCAGUAGAAGAGAAUGGUGAAUAAUUACCUGAUGUACUUAAACACC
rnacentral:lncRNA from 1 species